rnacentral:sRNA from 1 species
CUAUAGUGAGUUUGUCUAUUAUAGAUCUAAAAUCUUAUCUAGAUCUGUAUUUAGAAACAAUAGGAAAAUAAUGUCAUAUAUUUCAGCUAAUUAUGACAAAUCAAAUUGUGUUGACGAUUAGUUUUAUUUUGAAAUAGUUCCUUUUUCGUAUCGGAGUUCAAUUUGAAAUAUGACGUCACAUAAGCCAAGCCAACGAGCCUGUUGCGUUUUUAAAAUGGCUGUCGCAUGAAAUCAACACUAAUUGCCCAGCUGUGGUUAUUUCUGAAUUUGUACAGACUUCAGCAUCUUCAUCUCUUAGAAGUUAAUUCUUCACCAAAAUAAACAAUGGUGAUGGUCCUCCAAAGAAUACUGUCUGUCAAAUCAGACUAUGGUUGAGAAGCGAUGAGUCUGUAAUAAACAGACAAGUUAUAGUAUUAAAUAAUGUUAAACAUACAUUGUUUAUAUUAAAUUUAGAAGGCUUUCUAAUUAGGCUCACUAACUCCCAAGUAUGAGCAAACCAUAAAGAACCAAUAUAGAGCUCAGCUAACACAUUGUUCAGCUGAGUCAAAAAUCAGUUUAUAAACUAAUUACUCUUACUGCCUUAUCUAUAAGAUAAUUGGGUUGAACGUAGAUGGGCUUUGAUUUUCAAAAUCAUACAAGUUCUAAAGCUCGAAUCCAACUUAUGGAAACAACAGUUAUAUACAUUUCUGAAUUAUUCUUUGCUAGUAGUAAUACUAGUACUUUCAAUUCCUUCUGAUCUUGAAAUAUUAAAUACUUAACAUUGGAGAUCAGCUCCCACAUUGUUUUCAAAUAUUGACCUUGAAGCUUGCUUUAUAGGUGUUAUAUAGGUUAUGAAUACUUUGUUAUAUCGGAGAAGAAAUUUCUUUAAUUUUUAAAAAUAUCUUUUUAAUUUUUUAUGAUUUAUUAUUUUUUUUCGGUUUUAAAUAAUUGCAGAGAUGUUAAGUUUUUCAUCAACUCACUUGUAGUAUUUAUUCAUGGCAUUCAAGAAGGACUCUGAAGCAAAUGUUUUUACAAUUUUAAUUAGUUUUCCUUUCUAUUUCUUAUUAUCAAAGCAUAAAUUUGUACUCUUGAUCAGGGCUUUGUAUGCAGACAACAAAUCAGGGUCAUAUGUGGUAGAUGUAGAUCUGUAUUUUUUUUUGACAUUUAAAUUAAUUGUUGUAAGGUUUACAGAUAUGGUGAGCCUGUGCCUACUUAUAACUCAUUCAGUGAAACCUUUUGAACAGCCUCAAAAUGUCAUACCGGUAAUAUUAAAGUCUCUUAAUGGAUACCUGAAAAACAUAAUUCAUCAUCUGUAUUUUGUAUCAUCAAAAGUUUAAAUGUAUAUAGAUACAGGUACCUUUAAAGUAAGAUGUCAGGACAUGUGUUCAGUCUAGGUUCUGUUGAUGAUGCUACCGGUACUGAAAUAAAUUCUAUAUUUUUAAGAAUAAAAUCCAUUUUAUUUUAUAGUGUAUACACUUAUAUAUAUAGUAUUGUUCCUCUUAUUGUUGGUGUAUUAAAUGUGUUCUGCUGACCUGUCUUUUUAAGAUUCCUGUUUUCUGUCAUUCUGAAUUCUUUUUAGAGAGUGGCCCACUUAUUCCAUAAUGUUAUCUCCCAAUUGUUUUUAGGCUCUUUUUUUUGUUCUGAUCCUGUGCAGGUGCAGAUGGUUUGAUUGAAAGAUCUAAUCUUGUAAACAUGAUUGUAACAUGAGAUCCAAAAGAUCUAGUCAUCUACAUCCUCUCUAUAUGUAGUGUUUGUAGAUGUUGGAUAACUUUCUAUAACAUCUCAUUUGCUUGGUUUCACUGAAAUUGGUUGGCAAAUAUGUCUAGGAGAAAAUAUACCUGAAUUUUGUGUUAUUGCAUGUUAUACCAAAUUGUAUUAGCUCAUCGUGUACAGUACCUUAAAGCUACCUUUCCUUUUUUCCUCAUUGAUACAACAUAAUAAAUAAUGUUAUUUUUAACUUAUUUUUUCUUCAAAUGUUAUUGUUACAAAUAAAAAUGCUUCUUUA